AGAUUUGGGUCUUCGCUGAGACACUGGAAGAUUUGACAGCAGUGGAUCCACAGCAGCGAUUGGUUAGAGUGGGGCAGUCUCAGUGUGAAGAGUCUGAUUUGUGUAUGCCAGGUCUCAAGACGCUUGCCUGCGGAUGAGCUCUUUCAACUGUGCCAGUCUGUCACUUCUUAGUGCUUCCCGGAUGGAGUGGAAAAAACCAAAAUAGUGUUCAAAGUUGUGCAUCAUAAGCAGGACUCCAGCCAAUAGCUCGUUGGUCACCAGCAGAUGGUGGAUGUAUGCACGAGUAUGAUUCUUACAGCAGUAACAGGAACACCCUCUCACAAGUGGAUCGAAGUCCUCCUGGUACCUGAGAAAGGAAGUUACAACAAUAUUCCAGUUCAUUUACAAAGCAACUCGCGCUCUCAGAAUUUGAACUCUGCCCACAGGAUCUAAAACUCUAUUUGGCUUUAUUCUUCUUUGUAUUUUCUCCAUUAAUAAAAAGUCUACAUGGAAUGAGGUGGUAUUUUCAGAGGUAAUGGGUAAGGCAUUCUGGGAGGGUUAAUCAUACUCAACCAGGUUUUGCCACUAAAACAAGAAGGGGAGACACCCUGGAUCAGGGU